UACGUAGGUCCCGAGCGUUGUCCGGAUUUAUUGGGCGUAAAGCGAGCGCAGGUGGUUUAUUAAGUCUGGUGUAAAAGGCAGUGGCUCAACCAUUGUAUGCAUUGGAAACUGGUAGACUUGAGUGCAGGAGAGGAGAGUGGAAUUCCAUGUGUAGCGGCGAAAUGCGUAGAUAUAUGGAGGAACACUGGUGGCGAAAGCGGCUCUCUGGCCUGUAACUGACACUGAGGCUCGAAAGCGUGGGGAUCAAACAGG
rnacentral:rRNA from 1 species